rnacentral:rRNA from 1 species
AGCGAACGCUGGCGGCAGGCUUAACACAUGCAAGUCGAACGCAUCACUUCGGUGGUGAGUGGCAGACGGGUGAGUAACACGUGGGAACGUACCCUUCGAUCUGGGAUAACUUCGGGAAACUGGAGCUAAUACCGGAUACGCCCUUUUGGGGAAAGGUUUACUGUCGAAGGAUCGGCCCGCGUCUGAUUAGCUAGUUGGUGGGGUAACGGCCUACCAAGGCGACGAUCAGUAGCUGGUCUGAGAGGAUGAUCAGCCACACUGGGACUGAGACACGGCCCAGACUCCUACGGGAGGCAGCAGUGGGGAAUAUUGGACAAUGGGCGCAAGCCUGAUCCAGCCAUGCCGCGUGAGUGAUGAAGGCCUUAGGGUUGUAAAGCUCUUUUGUCCGGGACGAUAAUGACGGUACCGGAAGAAUAAGCCCCGGCUAACUACGUG